ACACCAAUGCCUUAAGUUUAUAUUUAUAUAGUAUAAAAUAAAGUAAUAUUAUAUCAGGUAAUUAGGAUUAAUGAGGAUAACAAAAGUAGGUAAAAUUUAAUUGUUGUUAUUAAUUAUAUAAUCCUAUUGAGAAAUUCUUUGAAAAUAAGAUUUAGAAAAACUAGGAUUAGAGACCCUACUAUUCUUUAUUUUAAAAAUUUUAUUACUUAAGUAGUACAAAUGUGAAUAUAAAUAUAUAAUUCUUUGAUUGUUUGAAACUUAAAAGGCUUGGCGGUAUUAUAUAUCCUACCAGGGGAGCUUGCUUAUUAAUUUGAUAAUCCCCAAUUUAUACUUACUUUUUUUUGAAUUAUAACAGUUUGUGUAUUGCUGUCGUCAGUUUAUUUUGCAAAAAUUUAGGAAAAAACUAAAUAAUUUUAUGGUUGUG
rnacentral:rRNA from 1 species